rnacentral:tRNA from 1 species
GCCUAGUUAGCUUAGUUGGUAGUGCGUCUGCCUUAUAAGCGCUAGGCGGCGGGUUCGAUUCCCGCCCGGGGCG